GAUGAACGCUGGCGGCGUGCCUAAUACAUGCAAGUCGAGCGAACAGACGAGGAGCUUGCUCCUCUGACGUUAGCGGCGGACGGGUGAGUAACACGUGGAUAACCUACCUAUAAGACUGGGAUAACUUCGGGAAACCGGAGCUAAUACCGGAUAAUAUAUUGAACCGCAUGGUUCAAUAGUGAAAGACGGUUUUGCUGUCACUUAUAGAUGGAUCCGCGCCGCAUUAGCUAGUUGGUAAGGCAACGGCUUAUCAAGGCAACGAUGCGUAGCCGACCUGAGAGAGUGAUCGGCCACACUGGAACUGGGACACGGUCCAGACUCCUACGGGAGGCAGCAGUAGGGAAUCUUCCGCAAUGGGCGAAAGCCUGACGGAGCAACGCCGCGUGAGUGAUGAAGGUCUUCGGAUCGUAAAACUCUGUUAUUAGUGAAGAACAAAUGUGGAAGUAACUAUGCACGUCUUGACGGUACCUAAUCAGAAAGCCACGGCUAACUACGUG
rnacentral:rRNA from 1 species